GGUUAAGUGAAUAAGGGCGCACGGUGGAUGCCUUGGCACUAGGAGCCGAUGAAGGACGGGACUAACACCGAUAUGCUUUGGGGAGCUGUACGUAAGCUUUGAUCCAGAGAUUUCCGAAUGGGGGAACCCAACAUCUUUUAUAGGAUGUUACGUUUGCGUGAAUACAUAGCGCAUUCGAGGUAGACGCAGAGAACUGAAACAUCUAAGUACCUGCAGGAAGAGAAAGAAAAUUCGAUUCCCUGAGUAGCGGCGAGCGAAACGGGAAAAGCCCAAACCAGCAAGCUUGCUUGCUGGGGUUGUAGGACUCCGAUAUGGUAGUUUUUUCAGAUAGUCGAAUGACUUGGAAAAGUCAGUCAAAGAGGGUGAAAGCCCCGUAGACAAAAUUUGGAAAGCACCUAGGAGGAUCCUGAGUACGGCGGAACACGAGGAAUUCCGUCGGAAUCCGGGAGGACCAUCUCCCAAGGCUAAAUACUCCCUAGUGACCGAUAGUGAACCAGUACCGUGAGGGAAAGGUGAAAAGCACCCCGGAAGGGGAGUGAAAUAGAACCUGAAACCGUGUGCCUACAACAAGUCAAAGCCCGUUAAUGGGUGAUGGCGUGCCUUUUGUAGAAUGAACCGGCGAGUUACGAUUGCAUGCGAGGUUAAGUUGAAGAGACGGAGCCGCAGCGAAAGCGAGUCUGAAUAGGGCGAUUGAGUAUGUAGUCGUAGACCCGAAACCAUGUG
rnacentral:ncRNA from 1 species